CCUAUAAUAUUGAAAAUUGGGCUUAUAAUCCUUUCCUUGAAGUAAAUGGGACCCUUCCCUCUCCCUGAAUGAAGAACGUAGUCUCCUUCCUAUUGGCGAUCACCUCGGCGUCGACCUAAUCGCCGAGAAACUCAACUAUCUUCUGAUCAUUUUAUCCUCUGCCUCCUCACUGCUCUCGAACCUAUCUUCUUCGCUGUCGAUGUUUGUUAACUACAAGUUUUCCCUGCACUUUAUGUUUAGCCCUUAUUUUGCAUCUUUUUCUCUCCCUACUUGCUUAGAACAUAUCUAGGUGACGACCUAGAAUCGGAACUCAGAAAUCAUGAAGCAAAGGUUCAAGGAUCGAUCCAAUGAUAGGUCCAAGGUCAUAGUUGUGGAUGCUGACGGUCAUCGUUCCAAAGGAAUUGCAAGAUCCUUGAGAGAAGUCGUUAUUAAGGGGUGACAUCAAACACUGGUGUAUAUACCUAAAGGAAAAUGUUUGUGAAAUAUGUGGUUUUGUGAAAUAUGUGGUGGUGGUAAUAAUCCUCGUUACAAACUUUUGCUUUUAACUUAUGUUGUAUGCAACACAACCUUCUGCAUUAUGUUGUUAUGUUGCAGGUCUCAACAGUUGAAGACUUUUUUUUGUUUGACUUAUAGAUCAAGUCAGAGCUAUGUGAAGCUGUUUGAACACAUGUUUUAAUGGGAAUAUGAAAUGCCCUGAAUAGUCAAGACUGUUA